rnacentral:miRNA from 1 species
CACACAGGAAAAGCGGGGCCCUG